rnacentral:rRNA from 1 species
UACAGAGGUGGCAAGCGUUGUUCGGAAUUACUGGGCGUAAAGGGCGCGUAGGCGGCCUUCUAAGUCGAACGUGAAAUCCCCGGGCUCAACCUGGGAACUGCAUCCGAUACUGGAUGGCUUGAAUCCGGGAGAGGGAUGCGGAAUUCCAGGUGUAGCGGUGAAAUGCGUAGAUAUCUGGAGGAACACCGGUGGCGAAGGCGGCAUCCUGGACCGGCAUUGACGCUGAGGAGCGAAAGCCAGGGGAGCAAACGGG